UUUGACAGCUCUAAUUGCUUUGAAUUAAUGGUUGGGUAAGAACACAAGGUCUUGUACUCAUGGGACAAAACUCAAAGAUUAAAUAAAAAUUAGAAAAUUUAAUAGUUUUUAAGACUUUUGUCCCAUGAGUACGACGAGACCUUGUGUUCUUACCCAACCAUUAAUUCAAAGCAAUUAGAGCUGUCAAA